rnacentral:rRNA from 1 species
AUGAACGCUAGCGGCAGGCUUAACACAUGCAAGUCGAGGGGCAGCGGGGUGUAGCAAUACACUGCCGGCGACCGGCGCACGGGUGCGUAACGCGUAUGCAACCUACCCAUAACAGGGGCAUAACACUGAGAAAUUGGUACUAAUUCCCCAUAACAUUCGAAGAGGCAUCUCUUUGGGUUGAAAACUCCGGUGGUUAUGGAUGGGCAUGCGUUGUAUUAGCUAGUUGGUGAGGUAACGGCUCACCAAGGCGACGAUACAUAGGGGGACUGAGAGGUUAACCCCCCACAUUGGUACUGAGACACGGACCAAACUCCUACGGGAGGCAGCAGUGAGGAAUAUUGGUCAAUGGACGCAAGUCUGAACCAGCCAUGCCGCGUGCAGGAUGACGGCUCUAUGAGUUGUAAACUGCUUUUGUACGAGGGUAAACUCACCUACGUGUAGGUGACUGAAAGUAUCGUACGAAUAAGGAUCGGCUAACUCCGUGCCAGCAGCCGCGGUAAUACGGAGGAUUCAAGCGUUAUCCGGAUUUAUUGGGUUUAAAGGGUGCGUAGGCGGUUAGAUAAGUUAGAGGUGAAAUCCCGGGGCUUAACUCCGAAAUUGCCUCUAAUACUGUUUGACUAGAGAGUAGUUGCGGUAGGCGGAAUGUAUGGUGUAGCGGUGAAAUGCUUAGAGAUCAUACAGAACACCGAUUGCGAAGGCAGCUUACCAAACUAUAUCUGACGUUGAGGCACGAAAGCGUGGGGAGCAAACAGGCUUAGAUACCCUGAUAGUCUACGCCGUAAACGAUGAUUACUAGGUGUCGGGGGACCAAGGUCCUUCGGUGCCGCCGCAAACGCAAUAAGUAGUCCACCUGGGGAGUACGUUCGCAAGAAUGAAACUCAAAGGAAUUGACGGGGGCCCGCACAAGCGGUGGAGCAUGUGGUUUAAUUCGAAGCAACGCGAAGAACCUUACCAGGUCUUGACAUCCCGAUGCUAUUUCUAGAGAUAGAAAGUUACUUCGGUACAUCGGUGACAGGUGGUGCAUGGUUGUCGUCAGCUCGUGUCGUGAGAUGUUGGGUUAAGUCCCGCAACGAGCGCAACCCCUAUCUUUAGUAGCCAGCGGUUUGGCCGGGCACUCUAGAGAGACUGCCAGGGAUAACCUGGAGGAAGGUGGGGAUGACGUCAAAUCAGCACGGCCCUUACGUCCGGGGCUACACACGUGUUACAAUGGUAGGUACAGAGGGUCGCUACCCCGUGAGGGGAUGCCAAUCUCGAAAGCCUAUCUCAGUUCGGAUUGGAGGCUGAAACCCGCCUCCAUGAAGUUGGAUUCGCUAGUAAUCGCGCAUCAGCCAUGGCGCGGUGAAUACGUUCCCGGGCCUUGUACACACCGCCCGUCAAGCCAUGGGAGCUGGGGGUGCCUGAAGUUCGUGACCGCAAGGAGCGACCUAGGGCAAAACCGGUGACUGGGGCU